AGUUUUUAUUGAAUUUUUGUUACAACAUUACUUCUGUUGUUUAUGUUCUAUUUGCAUGUGGAAUCCUAACUUCCCUUAUCCGGAUGGGACCAGCACCCCUUCCUCCACUGGAAGGUGAAGUCUUAACCACUGAACCACUAGGGAAACUCCACCAAUAUCUUUCUGAAAGGGGACGAUACAGAAAUAAUGGAAUCAUUCCAUUUUCUGACCAGAGAAAAGAAUGUGGCAAGUAUGACCUCCCCGAUCCUAAAUAAACUAAUCUGUCUAUUGAACACUGCUUGGGGACAAACCAUAACUGGGAUUAUAUUCCCAUCUUUAGUAAGAAAACAGUAGAUUAAACCACAUCCAAUACAGAACUCCAGGGUUCAGCAGUCUGGAAAACAAAGUUUAGUCGCAGCAAGUACCAUAAUGUAGGCUACCUGCUACGUCACUUCAGUCAUGUCCGACUGUUUUCCAUAUUAUGGUCUGUGGCCUGCCAGGCUCCUCUGCCAGACUCCUCUGUCCAUGGAUUCUCCAGGCACGAAUACUGGAGUGGAUUGCCAUGCCCUUUUCCAGGUUCCAUCCCUGGGUUGAGAAGAUGCCCUGGAGAAGGACAGGGCAAGCCAUUCCAGUAUUCUUGCCUGGGAAAUCCCAUGGACAGAGAAGCUUGACGGGCUGCAGUCCAUGGGGGCAGCAAAGAGUCGGACAUGACUUAGUGACUAAACAACAUUUAGUGCCCACGUUUUACAUGAGCUAUCGCAUUUAAUUCUUAUAAUUCCAUGAGGUAUGUAUAUUAUAAUAAUGCCAUUAAAUCCCAUUUUGCAGAUGAGGGAACUGAGGCACAAUGGGACUCAACAAUCUGCCGGGUAGUAAGUGCAGGAUUAAAAGCCCGUGUAUUUUUUUCUACACUCCAUUACUUUUUUGAUUUAGGAUGGCCAGGUGAAAAGAGAUGUUUAACUGAAAGACUUGCUGCUUUCAUAAAGUUGAAGGGUUAUUAUUUAUAAUGGAGAGAAGACUUUGAACCUCAACAGAGAAUUACCGUGGAGAAUGCAGAUGGAACACUGGAAACAGACACCCUCUAAGGCUCCAUGAUAAAUACAUUUCUCUCAGCUUCUAAGCAGCAUAGACUUUCCAGAUGGAAACAAAGCCUGUGAGCUUGUAUCUCCAUGACAUUAUAGCAGUCAGGGGAAAGGUUGAAGGGGGGUGGGGUCCAACAGGUUUUAUUAAAAAAUAAAUAAGUAAAUAAAUACGACAAAAAGUAGUUAGGUUGAGUGUCAUGCAGACAAAACAACGGAUGGCAUUAUUUCCACCUCUUCUGUGGGUCAUGGACACAGAAGCGCUCUCCGUCUGGCAGUGCAGAGGAGUCACCUCACCUCACCUCACUGUGUAUUUAAAGGCAGGUUCUCUGGGCUCUGAUGAUCACCCAGCCGGUCUAGAGUGGGACCUGGGGUUUGUGUUUCGUGAAGCUUUUCCAAGGGCUUCUGAUCUGCAGGUGGAGUUGGAAGCAGACAGUGGACUUCCAACCUUGGGCUCUAGGAUAACUUAAGUCUGUUAAGCAACCAGCCCCUCAGAGAAAACCAGCUACAAUGAUUUUUAUUUGCUGAAUUGAACAGUUGGCUGUGCAUUGCAGCUCAUGCACACUUAACACGUGUAUCGGAUCACGAAUCUCAAGAACAGCAGUGACACAAAUGUACACAGGCUACCGUGCCAAUAGAUCAGAAGAGAUUUGCAAAAUGAUCUUCCAGCUAAGCGGCAAAUUCUGUAAUUAUCAGUAUUCUUUUCAUGUAGUGAGAGUUUGCAUAAUUUCCCUGUGCUAGAAUGCAGGGAAAUCAAAACAAUAAACUAAGAGAUCUACCAAUUCAUUGGAGCACAAAAUUUAAAUCCGUGUUUGCUAACAAUAUUUCAAUUUCUGGGCAAAUCUGACAUGGAGAGACUGAAUAAUUAUAUUUCCAUCUUUGCUUUGGGAGGAGUCUGUUUAUUUACUGCUUUGGUUAAGAGUGCUGAAAACCCGGGACUCUUGUGCUGUGAUACUUACCUUCAUCAGAUAAAUUUAUUGCUUAAAAUUGUAUUGAUUUUGUCUUGCAAACAUACUCAUUGAAUGACUGCUCUCAGUCAUAGAGGGAGAGAAAUUUAACAUUCAAUUAGGAUUUUGGAUACUGAGUCCCUACUUCAAGAAAAUAAACAUAAAAAGAUAGUAAUAAUGAAUUGUGUAUUUGUCUCAGAGUUUAGAAAACAUUUUAAAGUCCUUGACCUGGUUUCAUCCCUCCCUGAAACACACACGCACACCGAAUCUUUGAAGUAAGGAGACCAAAUUCACCACAUAAUUUCUUUCGAUAUAGAGCCAUUAUUCU
ensembl:lncRNA